CCUACGGGCGGCAGCAGUGGGGAAUAUUGGACAAUGGGCGAAAGCCUGAUCCAGCCAUGCCGCGUGUGUGAAGAAGGCCUUCGGGUUGUAAAGCACUUUCAGUGGGGAAGAAAGCCUUGGGGCUAAUACCCUCGAGGAAGGACAUCACCCACAGAAGAAGCACCGGCUAACUCCGUGCCAGCAGCCGCGGUAAUACGGAGGGUGCGAGCGUUAAUCGGAAUUACUGGGCGUAAAGCGCGCGUAGGCGGUCUGAUAAGCCGGUUGUGAAAGCCCCGGGCUCAACCUGGGAACGGCAUCCGGAACUGUCAGGCUAGAGUGCAGGAGAGGAAGGUAGAAUUCCCGGUGUAGCGGUGAAAUGCGUAGAGAUCGGGAGGAAUACCAGUUGCGAAGGCAGUCUUCUGGACUGACACUGACGCUGAGGUGCGAAAGCGUGGGUAGCAAACAGGAUUAGAUACCCGUGUAGUC
rnacentral:rRNA from 1 species